GCCCCCGUUAGCGAAACAAGAAUCUACAGGUCGAGCAAGUCUCGUAAAUUUCACGAUUGUGCGAGCCAUGCUUCACGCAACCGUGUUUGCGUACUUGUGUUUCGAGUUGCGUGGUCGUGCGGAGUUAUAUUUACCAAAUUUAAAUCCCUUCCAACAUGCUGUCAAAAUUAAAUCAAUAUGUCAAUAUGGCUACUGGGUGUAAAAGAUAAAUCUUAUUCUAUCUGUUCUUAAUGAGUUUUAGAUAAUUUUAGUUGUAUUUCUUUGUAAUUUUGUGUUGUACAAAGAUUAAUUUAACAUUUUCUCUGGAAGUGUUAAUUUAGGAAGAUAAUAUGCUUCAUUGGUGUUGUGUUUUGAAGUGUGAAAUGCAAAGUAAUUGUGAUAAAGUCAAGAUAAAGUUCACUUUUAAACUGAACUAAAUAAGGUAUCUGCGAGACAACAAUGGUUAAAUGCAAUACAAUGUACAGGUUUUACUAGCGAAACGAAAAUUUUCCUGUCCUGUCUGCUGUAAUCAUUUUAUAUCUGGAAAACCAGCCGACUUAAUCGAUAAUAACAAUCUCCAGAUUGGGUUCCUUCAAUAAAUAUGGGCUAUAAACACAAUGAAAUAAGUUCCCCAAAAUCUAAAAUGGAGUGGUAUCAAAGGAGAAUUAAAGGAAAAAAUAUUCAUAUUGAAAUUAUUUAUAAGGCACUGGACUGUCUUAAAUUCUACAAUAAUACUAGAAUCAGCUGAGAGAAGUGGUCUACAAAAAACCAGGAAGGAAACGGAAUAUGUGGCUACGAAAGGCAAAAGAAAGGUUUACAAAGCAAAUGUGACACAUUUUUUUGAAAUAUUUAGGAAUAUCAGUAAAUUGCAUUAAAAGAAUGUAUGAAAAGAUUUUGUUCAAUAAAAAUGUUUAUAUUUA